UCCAUCUCCCUCACAAGAACCAUCACAAGGAUCUUUAUUAUCUCCAUGCUCGCUAUAAGAACUAGGGUCAUCAUUCAUCUUAUAUUCUCCUUCAGAAUAGUAGCUCUCAUUUUGAUCCAACUCUUGAUCAUGACUAUAUUCAUACCCUCCAUAAUUUCCCUUUUUUUCAUAGCCAUAACUAUCUUCACAACAAUCAUAGUCUCCUAUGUCGUAGUCACAAUUAUCCGAG
rnacentral:lncRNA from 1 species